GAUCAUAUAGCCAAGAAUCUGUUGUUAAAUUGGCAAGAUGUCGGCAUAGCUGACGUUGGAAAACGAAUUUUGAGAGCGCUAUGCUGCAUCUAGUCAGUUGUUCAAUGGAACAGUCAACAAGAUCGAAA
rnacentral:precursor_RNA from 15 species